ensembl:snoRNA
CCUUCCUACAAAGGUGUGUCUGCUUCACUAUCUUUGGACACAUAAGAAUUAGGGGCAAAGAAAUAGGGAUUUGGAGAAAUCUGGGAUCAGUUCACUCCCCACAGGUUCAAGAUUAACCCUCCCACACUC